rnacentral:rRNA from 1 species
AUUGAACGCCGGCGGCAGGCCUAACACAUGCAAGUCGAGCGGAUGAAGGGAGCUUGCUCCUGGAUUCAGCGGCGGACGGGUGAGUAAUGCCUAGGAAUCUGCCUGGUAGUGGGGGAUAACGUCCGGAAACGGGCGCUAAUACCGCAUACGUCCUGAGGGAGAAAGUGGGGGAUCUUCGGACCUCACGCUAUCAGAUGAGCCUAGGUCGGAUUAGCUAGUUGGUGGGGUAAAGGCCUACCAAGGCGACGAUCCGUAACUGGUCUGAGAGGAUGAUCAGUCACACUGGAACUGAGACACGGUCCAGACUCCUACGGGAGGCAGCAGUGGGGAAUAUUGGACAAUGGGCGAAAGCCUGAUCCAGCCAUGCCGCGUGUGUGAAGAAGGUCUUCGGAUUGUAAAGCACUUUAAGUUGGGAGGAAGGGCAGUAAGUUAAUACCUUGCUGUUUUGACGUUACCAACAGAAUAAGCACCGGCUAACUUCG